rnacentral:tRNA from 1 species
CGGGGUGUGGCGAAGUUGGUAUCGCGCGUGGUUUGGGACCAUGAGGCCCAGAGUUCGAGUCUCUGCACUCCGA